UACAGAGGGUGCGAGCGUUGUCCGGAAUCACUGGGCGUAAAGGGCGUGUAGGCGGACCUAUAAGUCUAUUCUGAAAGCUCCUGGCUAAACUGGGAGAGGCGAAUGGAGACUGUAGAUCUAGAGUGAGGAAGAGGAAAGUGGAAUUCCGCGUGUAGUGGUGAAAUGCGUAGAGAUGCGGAGGAACACCAGUGGCGAAAGCGACUUUCUGGUCCUUAACUGACGCUGAGGCGCGAAAGCAUGGGGAGCGAACGGG
rnacentral:rRNA from 1 species